UACGGAGGGGGCUAGCGUUGUUCGGAUUUACUGGGCGUAAAGGGCGCGUAGGCGGAUGUUCGCGUCAGAGGUGAAAGCCCCGGGCUCAACCUGGGAACUGCCUUUGAAACGGGACAUCUUGAGUUCGGAAGAGGGUAGCGGAAUUCCCAGUGUAGAGGUGAAAUUCGUAGAUAUUGGGAAGAACACCAGUAGCGAAGGCGGCUACCUGGUCCGACACUGACGCUGAGGCGCGAAAGCGUGGGGAGCAAACAGGAUUAGAUACCCGGGUAGUCCCUGAGCGGGCUGGCAA
rnacentral:rRNA from 1 species